CAACAUUAAGAGAGGAAAGGGAGAGCUUUCCAAACCCUAGCCUCUUUAAUCAAACUAUUAUAACUUUCCGCUCCGAGCUCCGAUCGCCGCACUGUUCGCGGCCACGCGUCCAUCGCGUCGAGCUCUACAUUUCAGUUGGAUCAAUUUCACCAGUUCAAGUUAGCUUUCGGAACUUGUGGACUCAAGCUAUUGAGCAUAUAUGGGUAUGGUGUAGGUUAAAUGGGUGUUUAUGCAUUGGAAUUGAAUUGGGAUUACUUGGAGGUUUGUUGGUGACCAAGGCUUAUUUUGGGGCUGUUUGAUUGAGCUUGGAGGGGCUGUAAUUUUGAGUUGUGAGGCUGCCUUGAUGUAU